rnacentral:lncRNA from 1 species
UGCACAACCUCCGAGUGGCGCUGGAUGACAUUGUAGCAAGUGUAAACAUCGGUCAUGGUUCAGCAUACCACAUUGUGCAUGAUGUGCUCGGAUUUCACAAAGCGUCU